AUCAAGACAGUAAUUAUAGAAAAGUAUUUUCAAAUGGGGUUUAAAUUUGAUCCAAUUACCGAAGAAACAUUUGUCCCAACAUCGGAGGAGCUAAUUGAAUUAGAGUUAGAAUUUAGAGGAACAAAUGAAGAGCCUCCAACGCCAAUACAAAUAGAAACUCAUUAAAUUUUACAAAAAAAUUGAUUUUAUCUUAUAAUAAUGUAUAAAUUAUUAUUGUAAUUAUUUUAUCAAAUUUACGUAAUUUUAUAAAACUUUAAAUAAUUAUUAAACAUAAUAAUUUUAUUUUAUUUUUAA